CGGGGCGGCCGCCGCCACGGGCCGGCCCCUCGGGGCAGCUCGGAGCGCAUUGGGCCCGCCUGGUGUCGCUCAGCCACCGGCCCGCCUCGCUCCGGCCCCCGCCGGGGAGCGGGGAUGUGGAGCUUGUUCCCGUGUGGGUAUUGCACAUUGCAGUUGUUCCUCAGUCAGGCUGAGUCUCUACAAACAGCAUUUGCAGCCCAGCUCGGACCUCAGGCUGUCCUCUCAGGCCUCUCUGGCGUGAUCCUGCCGUUCAUCCACCUUGAAAUCGUGAAAGAGCAAAGGAGACUCCUGGGAUAGAAUGGGACCUCACCUCUAUUGCACUCUCCUGAGAACCUGGAAGAUUCUCUGAUAUUUGUCCCUGAAACCAAGGCAAGAGCUCUGAGAAGUUUCCCUGUCUUUUCAGUGAGAAGAAGGAGGAAGUGGUAGCUUGACGGAUGAAAAGAUUUGAGAAACAGGAAAGGAUGAGGUGAUACAUGACUGUCAGGGUUCAGAGACACAGAAAUAUGAGAAAAGCAACCAAGUAGAGCUGGGGGAGACAUUGCCAACAGGAGCUGAAGGAAUUGAUAGGAAGGAGCACAGAGCCAGAACAGAAGGGACAGGAAAUCUGGAAAGACAAGACAAAGGUUUAUAAUCUGUGUAGAAAUGAAGACAGUCUUCCCAGAACUGAAGCUGUGAUUCCUGAGCUUCUCUGUUGUCCAGCAAAUUAUUUAAAAUCUACUGUUCUCCAGUGGCUUAUCCCUAUAAAAAGAUACUACCUCUGCUCGUUUUUUUUGGUUCCAGUGGUAGAGGUAUGUGACUCUUAAAUGCCCAACAGUGCUGAUGACUCUUGGAAAGUGCUUGGGAAUUUCAUUUGGAUUCCAUUAAGUAAUUAACUGCACUUUUUGUUCUUCCUCAAAAAAACCACACACACUUAUAUGAAAAAAAAAAAAAAAGAAAGAAAAAGAUAAUAAAACCACUUUUGGUUCAGAUAACAGUCUCAUUUGUUAUAUCUCCUUUCAGUUCUAAAACAUGAUCCACCCUAUGAACCAAAUAAAAGUGAAAUAUUAAGGAACAAGAAUUGCAUACUACAAGAUGAAUGAUAUUUCAAAGACAGCUAUCUAGGAUGAACAGUGUAUUUGGCAAUUUCUAAUUUCUGAGAGCUUAACUUUGUCAUUAUAAUUUACAGUCGUGAUGUACGUUAGGAAUACCUACAUCUGCAUUCAGCUCCUGAAAAUAUAUUUAAUAAAUAACAAAUGUUUUGCCUGCCUGUGUGUUUGUAUAAUACAGAAAUACUUCCAAUCAAAUAAAUGAGCUUUACAGUAAAUGCAGAAAGUGAUGCAAUUUCUGAAUUUAAUUUUACAGUAAUGUUUUUUUUAAAUUAUCAUAGGAAAGAUUAUAAAAUGUUGAAAACUAGUGUCAGCAUUAAUCUUAAAGUGAAACUCAGAGUGGCUAUUUUAUUGACAUGUACAAGUCACUCCAUCUUUCAAAAAACAACAGAUAAUAGCAGAUUUGGGGUUUCACAGUCUGACACUUAAGGUGCGGCAGAGCAAACAAACUGUCCUGCGUGAGAAUUUGCAAUGACACAAAGGAAACUUAAUCUGCUCCUGCUCUUUCUCCUCAAGAUAUUCACUAAGUGUUUGCUACAGCAGCUGUCACCUGAAUAGUGCCAAAUACUUCUAACUGGGAUGGUGUUUCUUCUUUCUCUUCCUGUGUUCCCAUUGUUACCUGCUGUUUUUAUUUUCGCACUUCCACCUUUAAUGUUCAAUGCAAAUACCCAUUUCCUUCACGACUGCAAAAAAAUAAUUCACAGAUUUAGAUCUCAUUCUAUAAAGCUCAUGAUUCCCUGAACUGGCAGUCUGGCUCUACAUGUUAUAGGCCGUGUCUGCAGAACCAAAUAUCCAGGCUGAAUUCCUAGAAGCACAACACAUUCCUCAGAAACCACAAAACUGACUCAUUCAGCAUACUUCAUGUAAUAGUGCAGUUUAAAAUACCACCUCGAUCUACAUAUAGAAAAUUGAAAGCUUGAUGAAAAUUCUUAAACAUCUUAAAAACAAAACAAAACAAAACAAAAACAAAAAAAAAACCUUUAGCAGGUUUUGAAUUAAGACAGAGGUCCUGACGUAGUCUUGAUAAUAUCUGUCAGCUUUGCUAGAUGGAGAAAGAUCUUGGUUUGUAAAAAAAAAAAAAAAAUACCAUACUCAUCUGUGCCGAGUGAAAUUAAUGUUAUAAGCCAUUUCUGAUUUUUGCUUCCUUUUUGCUUACAUCAUGAAAGCAAAUCAUGAAUUUCACUUUCUAUUUAUAUUUUGUUUCCCUUUCUGAUGAUCAUAGUUUAGGUUUGAGACUAAAGCUGUGUGUAGGCACAGGAACCAAUCCUGAUGCAGCAACUUGCGGUAUAGGGAUGUGAAAAUAAAGCUCUUAGAAAAAAAA